UGAGGGCAAGUGGCACCCAGGGCAAGUGACACCAAAGGCUGGUGCCACCCAGGGACAGUGGCACUGAGGGCAGGUGACACCCAGCAGAGGUGGCACCCAGGGCAGGUGGCACCCAGCAGAGGUGGCACCAAGGGUGGGUGGCACUGAGGGCAGGUGUCACCCAGGGACAGUGGCAUGGAGGGCAGGUGACACCCAGCCAAGGUGGCACCAAGGGCUGGUGGCAGUGCUGCAGUGCCACCCAGGACAGGUGACACCAAAGCCCAAUGCCAUCCAGGGUAGGUGCCAGCUCUGCAGUGCCACCUAGGGCAGGUGACACCAAAGCCUGAUGUCACCCAGGGCAGGUGACACUCAGAGCAGGUGCCAGUGCUGCAGUGCCACUCAGUCCUUCAGGGCGGGUGACACCAAAGGCUGGUGCCACCCAGGGCAGGUGCCAUCCAGGGAGGUGCCAGCUCUGCAGUGCCACCCCUGUCCCCAC